GUAGAGGUUUUAGGUUAUUGUCCUGCUGAAAGGUGAAUUCAUCUCCCAGUGUCUGGUGGGAAGCAGACUGAACCAGGUUAUUGUCCUGCUGAAAGGUGAAUUCAUCUCCCAGUGUCUGGUGGAAAGCAGACUGAACCAGGUUAUUGUCCUGCUGAAAGGUGAAUUCAUCUCCCAGUGUCUGGUGGAAAGCAGACUGAACCAGGUUAUUGUCCUGCUGAAAAGGGGAAUUCAUCUCCCAGUGUCUGGUGGAAAGCAGACUGAACCAGGUUAUUGUCCUGCUGAAAGGUGAAUUCAUCUCCCAGUGUCUGGUGGAAAGCAGACUGAACCAGGUUAUUGUCCUGCUGAAAGGUGAAUUCAUCUCCCAGUGUCUGGUGGAAAGCAGACUGAACCAGGUUAUUGUCCUGCUGAAAGGUGAAUUCAUCUCCCAGUGUCUGGUGGGAAGCAGACUGAACCAGGUUAUUGUCCUGCUGAAAGGUGAAUUCAUCUCCCAGUGUCUGGUGGAAAGCAGACUGAACCAGGUUAUUGUCCUGCUGAAAGGUGAAUUCAUCUCCCAGUGUCUGGUGGAAAGCAGACUGAACCAGGUUAUUGUCCUGCUGAAAAGGGGAAUUAAUCUCCCAGUGUCUGGUGGAAAGCAGACUGAACCAGGUUAUUGUCCUGCUGAAAGGUGAAUUCAUCUCCCAGUGUCUGGUGGAAAGCAGACUGAACCAGGUUAUUGUCCUGCUGAAAAGGGGAAUUCAUCUCCCAGUGUCUGGUGGAACGCAGACUGAACCAGGUUAUUGUCCUGCUGAAAGGUGAAUUCAUCUCCCAGUGUCUGGUGGA